GACAGAGGUGGCAAGCGUUGUUCGGAUUCAUUGGGUGUAAAGGGUGCGUAGGCGGUUUAGAAAGUCGGACGUGAAAGCCCACAGCUUAACUGUGGAAAUGCGUCCGAAACUCCUAGACUAGAGUGCGAGAGAGGUGAAGGGAAUUCCCGGUGUAAGGGUGAAAUCUGCAGAGAUCGGGAGGAACACCAGUAGCGAAGGCGCUUCACUGGCUCGCAACUGACGCUGAGUGCACGAAGGUAUGGGGAGCAAACGGG
rnacentral:rRNA from 1 species